UACAGGGGGUGCAAACGUUGUUCGGAAUUACUGGGCGUAAAGCGCGUGUAGGCUGCUCAGAAAGUCGGAUGUGAAAGCCCUGGGCUUAACCUAGGAAGUGCAUUCGAAACUUCUGAGCUUGAGUUCUGGAGAGGAAGGCGGAAUUCUCGGUGUAGAGGUGAAAUUCGUAGAUAUCGAGAGGAACACCGGUGGCGAAGGCGGCCUUCUGGACAGUGACUGACGCUGAGACGCGAAAGCGUGGGGAGCAAACAGG
rnacentral:rRNA from 1 species